rnacentral:rRNA from 1 species
CCUACGGGAGGCAGCAGUGGGGCAUAUUGCACAAUGGGGGAAACCCUGAUGCAGCAACGCCGCGUGAGUGAAGAAGUAUUUCGGUAUGUAAAGCUCUAUCAGCAGGGAAGAAGAUGACGGUACCUGAUUAAGAAGCCCCGGCUAACUACUUGCCAGCAGCAUCGGUAAUACGUAGGGGGCAAGCUUUAUCCGGAUUUACUGGGUGUAAAGGGAGCGCAGACGGCAGUGCAAGUCUGUGGUGAAAGCCCGGGGCCCAACCCCGGAACUUAUCUGGAAAAUGUGCGGCUAGAGUACCGGAGGGGCAGGCGGAAUUCCUAGUGUAGCGGUGAAAUGCGGAGAUAUUAGGAGGAACACCAGUGGCGCAGGCGGCCUGCUGGACAGUAACGGACGUUGAGGCUCGAAAGCGUGGGGAGCAAACAGGAUUAGAUACCCGGGUAGUC